GGUCCCGCCUGCCCUGUGACUAUAUGUUUAACGGCCGCGGUAUUUUGACCGUGCGAAGGUAGCGCAAUCACUUGUCUUUUAAAUGGAGACCUGUAUGAAUGGCACGACGAGGGCUUAACUGUCUCCUCUUUCAAGUCAAUGAAAUUGAUCUCCCCGUGCAGAAGCGGGGAUACCCCCAUAAGACGAGAAGACCCUAUGGAGCUUUAGACACUAAAGCAGUUCAUACUUUCACCCCUGAAUAAAGGAUUAAAACCGUAUGAAACCUGCCCUAAUGUCUUUGGUUGGGGCGACCGUGGGGAAACAAAAAACCCCCACAUGGAGUGGGCAUACUAUUCCCAUAACUAAGGGCUACAGCCCUAGUUAUCAGAAUUUCUGACCAGUUAAGAUCCGGCAACGCCGAUUAAUGAACCGAGUUACCCUAGGGAUAACAGCGCAAUCCCCUUUUAGAGUCCAUAUCGACAAGGGGGUUUACGACCUCGAUGUUGGAUCAGGACAUCCUAAUGGUGCAGCCGCUAUUAAGGGUUCGUUUGUUCAACGAUUAAAG
rnacentral:rRNA from 1 species